rnacentral:rRNA from 1 species
GACGAACGCUGGCGGCGUGCCUAAUACAUGCAAGUAGAACGCUGAAGGAGGAGCUUGCUUCUCUGGAUGAGUUGCGAACGGGUGAGUAACGCGUAGGUAACCUGCCUGUUAGCGGGGGAUAACUAUUGGAAACUAUAGCUAAUACCGCAUAAUAGUAGAUGUCGCAUGACAUUUGCUUAAAAGGUUCAAUUGCAUCACUACCAGAUGGACCUGCGUUGUAUUAGCUAGUUGGUGAGGUAACGGCUCACCAAGGCAACGAUACAUAGCCGACCUGAGAGGGUGAUCGGCCACACUGGGACGGAGACACGGCACAGACUGAUACGGGAGGCAGCAGUAGGGAAUCGGCGGCAAGGGACGGAAGUCUGACCGAGAAACGCCGCGUGAGGGAAGAAGGUUUUCGGAUCGUAAAGGUCUGUUGUAAGAGAAGAACGAGUGUGAGAGUGGAAAGUUCACACUGUGACGGUAUCUUACCAGAAAGGGACGGCUAACUACGUG